rnacentral:SRP_RNA from 1 species
UAUCGGUCCCCUCGCAUCGCAACGUUGCAAACCCCGUCAGACCCGGAAGGGAGCAGCGGUAGUAGCGGACGCGAGUGCCGGGGUGUGGCUGGUACGG